rnacentral:rRNA from 1 species
CGUAGGGUGCAAGCGUUGUCCGGAAUUAUUGGGCGUAAAGAGCUCGUAAGCGGUUUGUCGCGUCGACUGUGUAAACCCGAGGCUUAACCUCGGGCCUGCAGUCGAUACGGGCAGACUAGAGUUCGGUAGGGGAGACUGGAAUUCCUGGUGUAGCGGUGAAAUGCGCAGAUAUCAGGAGGAACACCGGUGGCGAAGGCGGGUCUCUGGGCCGAUACUGACGCUGAGGAGCGAAAGCGUGGGGAGCGAACAGGAUUAGAUACCCUGGUAGUCCACGCCGUAAACGUUGGGCGCUAGGUGUGGGGGUCUUUCCACGAUCUCCGUGCCGCAGCUAACGCAUUAAGCGCCCCGCCUGGGGAGUACGGCCGCAAGGCUA